AAGCGAAAUUCAAGAUGGUUGUAAAACAUCGAGUACUACAACCACUGGAAUUUCUCUAUUGC
ensembl:miRNA mir-1829.3 ncRNA